GCAUCGUUCAGUGGUAGAAUGCUCACCUGCCACGCGGGCGGCCCGGGUUCGAUUCCCGGUCGAUGCA
rnacentral:tRNA from 1 species